rnacentral:rRNA from 1 species
GAUGGUGAUUAUUGCAGCGAGGCAACACCUGUUCCCAUUCCGAACACAGCAGUUAAGCUCGUCUGCGCCGAUGGUACUGCAUGGGCAACUGUGUGGGAGAGUAGGUCGUCGCCAUCG